rnacentral:rRNA from 1 species
UACGUAGGGGGCAAGCGUUGUCCGGAAUCAUUGGGCGUAAAGCGCGUGUAGGCGGCCCGGUAAGUCCGCUGUGAAAGUCGGGGGCUCAACCCUCGGAUGCCGGUGGAUACUGUCGGGCUAGAGUGCGGGAGAGGCGAGUGGAAUUCCGGGUGUAGCGGUGGAAUGCGUAGAGAUCCGGAAGAACACCGGUGGCGAAGGCGGCCUGCUGGGCAGUUGCUGACACUGAGGCGCGACAGCGUGGGGAGCAAACAGG